GGUUAAGCGACUAAGCGUACACGGUGGAUGCCCUGGCAGUCAGAGGCGAUGAAGGACGUGCUAAUCUGCGAUAAGCGUCGGUAAGGUGAUAUGAACCGUUAUAACCGGCGAUUUCCGAAUGGGGAAACCCAGUGUGAUUCGUCACACUAUCAUUAACUGAAUCCAUAGGUUAAUGAGGCGAACCGGGGGAACUGAAACAUCUAAGUACCCCGAGGAAAAGAAAUCAACCGAGAUUCCCCCAGUAGCGGCGAGCGAACGGGGAGCAGCCCAGAGCCUGAAUCAGUGUGUGUGUUAGUGGAAGCGUCUGGAAAGGCGCGCGAUACAGGGUGACAGCCCCGUACACAAAAAUGCACAUGCUGUGAGCUCGAUGAGUAGGGCGGGACACGUGGUAUCCUGUCUGAAUAUGGGGGGACCAUCCUCCAAGGCUAAAUACUCCUGACUGACCGAUAGUGAACCAGUACCGUGAGGGAAAGGCGAAAAGAACCCCGGCGAGGGGAGUGAAAAAGAACCUGAAACCGUGUACGUACAAGCAGUGGGAGCCUCUUUAUGGGGUGACUGCGUACCUUUUGUAUAAUGGGUCAGCGACUUAUAUUCUGUAGCAAGGUUAACCGAAUAGGGGAGCCGAAGGGAAACCGAGUCUUAACUGGGCGUUAAGUUGCAGGGUAUAGACCCGAAACCCGGUGAUCUAGCCAUGGGCAGGUUGAAGGUUGGGUAACACUAACUGGAGGACCGAACCGACUAAUGUUGAAAAAUUAGCGGAUGACUUGUGGCUGGGGGUGAAAGGCCAAUCAAACCGGGAGAUAGCUGGUUCUCCCCGAAAGCUAUUUAGGUAGCGCCUCGUGAAUUCAUCUCCGGGGGUAGAGCACUGUUUCGGCAAGGGGGUCAUCCCGACUUACCAACCCGAUGCAAACUGCGAAUACCGGAGAAUGUUAUCACGGGAGACACACGGCGGGUGCUAACGUCCGUCGUGAAGAGGGAAACAACCCAGACCGCCAGCUAAGGUCCCAAAGUCAUGGUUAAGUGGGAAACGAUGUGGGAAGGCCCAGACAGCCAGGAUGUUGGCUUAGAAGCAGCCAUCAUUUAAAGAAAGCGUAAUAGCUCACUGGUCGAGUCGGCCUGCGCGGAAGAUGUAACGGGGCUAAACCAUGCACCGAAGCUGCGGCAGCGACGCUUAUGCGUUGUUGGGUAGGGGAGCGUUCUGUAAGCCUGCGAAGGUGUACUGUGAGGUAUGCUGGAGGUAUCAGAAGUGCGAAUGCUGACAUAAGUAACGAUAAAGCGGGUGAAAAGCCCGCUCGCCGGAAGACCAAGGGUUCCUGUCCAACGUUAAUCGGGGCAGGGUGAGUCGACCCCUAAGGCGAGGCCGAAAGGCGUAGUCGAUGGGAAACAGGUUAAUAUUCCUGUACUUGGUGUUACUGCGAAGGGGGGACGGAGAAGGCUAUGUUGGCCGGGCGACGGUUGUCCCGGUUUAAGCGUGUAGGCUGGUUUUCCAGGCAAAUCCGGAAAAUCAAGGCUGAGGCGUGAUGACGAGGCACUACGGUGCUGAAGCAACAAAUGCCCUGCUUCCAGGAAAAGCCUCUAAGCAUCAGGUAACAUCAAAUCGUACCCCAAACCGACACAGGUGGUCAGGUAGAGAAUACCAAGGCGCUUGAGAGAACUCGGGUGAAGGAACUAGGCAAAAUGGUGCCGUAACUUCGGGAGAAGGCACGCUGAUAUGUAGGUGAAGUCCCUUGCGGAUGGAGCUGAAAUCAGUCGAAGAUACCAGCUGGCUGCAACUGUUUAUUAAAAACACAGCACUGUGCAAACACGAAAGUGGACGUAUACGGUGUGACGCCUGCCCGGUGCCGGAAGGUUAAUUGAUGGGGUUAGCGGUAACGCGAAGCUCUUGAUCGAAGCCCCGGUAAACGGCGGCCGUAACUAUAACGGUCCUAAGGUAGCGAAAUUCCUUGUCGGGUAAGUUCCGACCUGCACGAAUGGCGUAAUGAUGGCCAGGCUGUCUCCACCCGAGACUCAGUGAAAUUGAACUCGCUGUGAAGAUGCAGUGUACCCGCGGCAAGACGGAAAGACCCCGUGAACCUUUACUAUAGCUUGACACUGAACAUUGAGCCUUGAUGUGUAGGAUAGGUGGGAGGCUUUGAAGUGUGGACGCCAGUCUGCAUGGAGCCGACCUUGAAAUACCACCCUUUAAUGUUUGAUGUUCUAACGUUGGCCCCUGAUCGGGGUUGCGGACAGUGUCUGGUGGGUAGUUUGACUGGGGCGGUCUCCUCCUAAAGAGUAACGGAGGAGCACGAAGGUUGGCUAAUCCUGGUCGGACAUCAGGAGGUUAGUGCAAUGGCAUAAGCCAGCUUGACUGCGAGCGUGACGGCGCGAGCAGGUGCGAAAGCAGGUCAUAGUGAUCCGGUGGUUCUGAAUGGAAGGGCCAUCGCUCAACGGAUAAAAGGUACUCCGGGGAUAACAGGCUGAUACCGCCCAAGAGUUCAUAUCGACGGCGGUGUUUGGCACCUCGAUGUCGGCUCAUCACAUCCUGGGGCUGAAGUAGGUCCCAAGGGUAUGGCUGUUCGCCAUUUAAAGUGGUACGCGAGCUGGGUUUAGAACGUCGUGAGACAGUUCGGUCCCUAUCUGCCGUGGGCGCUGGAGAACUGAGGGGGGCUGCUCCUAGUACGAGAGGACCGGAGUGGACGCAUCACUGGUGUUCGGGUUGUCAUGCCAAUGGCACUGCCCGGUAGCUAAAUGCGGAAGAGAUAAGUGCUGAAAGCAUCUAAGCACGAAACUUGCCCCGAGAUGAGUUCUCCCUGACUCCCUGAGAGUCCUGAAGGAACGUUGAAGACGACGACGUUGAUAGGCCGGGUGUGUAAGCGCAGCGAUGCGUUGAGCUAACCGGUACUAAUGAACCGUGAGGCUUAACCUU
rnacentral:rRNA from 1 species